CCAUCACUUAAACGUGGAUGUACUGGCUCUGAACUACAGAAGUAAGUGCUUCCAUGUUUAGUGAUGG
rnacentral:pre_miRNA from 1 species